GUUCCUUCCCUCCUUCCUCACUCUAAGAAAAUGGUUUGGGCUUUCCCUCUCUCUCUUCAGCAAAUAUUUCUGCAAACAGCAGCCCUUACUGUUUCUUCCAGGUGCUGGCCCACAUUUUUACAUACAUCCAUCAUUGCUCAUCCAUGCAACCUCUUUCCAACCCUGUAAGAGGGGUUUAUAUUGUACAGAUGAAGAAACUGAAGUUCGAGAAGUUAAUUGACUUAGACAAUGUGACUCAGUGGCAGAGCUAACAUUAAAACUCAAAUCAGUCAAACUUCAAGGCAUCUUUCCAUGAGGCAGCAGUCUAACCGUGUGAGCAGCAAGAGGAUUCACUGAGUUACUUUGUAUUCAGGACGGGCUUUGCAGAUGCCUAGAAUCUGCAGACAACGCAGCAAAUGAUGCCAUGUUUGUUCUUUGGGCCAAAAGACUGGCAACUGUUCUAAAGUAGAUCUAAUUGCCCGCAAACUCUUUAAAGAUGAUGAGCAGUCUUUGUGCUUUGCACACAUCAAGAUGCCCAAUAGCAUUGCUAAUUGAAGAUGAAAUUCAUUCAAUGUCUGAUUUAAAAAUAAACAGGUGAAAUUAUAGCCAA